GAGUUUGAUCGUGGCUCAGGACGAACGCUGGCGGCGUGCCUAAUACAUGCAAGUCGAGCGAGCUGAAUUCACAGAUUCCUUCGGGAUGACGUGUUGGACGCUAGCGGCGGAUGGGUGAGUAACACGUGGGCAAUCUGCCCUAAAGACUGGGAUACCACUUGGAAACAGGUGCUAAUACCGGAUAACAAUGAUGGUUGCAUGACCAUUAUUUGAAAGGCGGCGCAAGCUGUCACUUUAGGAUGAGCCCGCGGUGCAUUAGCUAGUUGGUGAGGUAACGGCUCACCAAGGCCAUGAUGCAUAGCCGAGUUGAGAGACUGAUCGG
rnacentral:rRNA from 1 species